UACGGAGGGUGCAAGCGUUAUCCGGAUUCACUGGGUUUAAAGGGUGCGUAGGUGGGCUGGUAAGUCAGUGGUGAAAUCUCCAGGCUUAACUGGAAACUGCCAUUGAUACUAUUAGUCUUGAAUACCGUGGAGGUCAGCGGAAUAUGUCAUGUAGCGGUGAAAAUUCUUAGAUAUGACACAGAACACCAAUUGCGAAGGCAGCUCGCUAAACUGUAACUGACGCUGAGGCACGAAAGCGUGGGGAUCAAACAGG
rnacentral:rRNA from 1 species